ACAACGGCGAGGAAAGGGAGAGUAACGGCCGUUCCCCUCACAGGGAGCCCAGCCGCGACUGAGAGCGGGGCAGGCGGGAUGGUCGUGAAGUUCACCCUGGAGCUGCGCGGCUGAAGGCGGGACACCUGUUGGUAGGCGGCGCCGUCCGGUGCACGUUACGCACCAUGGAGUGGAUGAUCAUCCGCACGGGCGCGGAGGGUCAUCAACAAGGGUGGUACCACGGAGCAGUUCGUCCCUUGA
rnacentral:ncRNA from 1 species